CACGUAGGGUGCGAGCGUUGUCCGGAAUUAUUGGGCGUAAAGAGCUCGUAGGCGGUCUGUCGCGUCUGCUGUGAAAACUCAGGGCUUAACCCUGAGCUUGCAGUGGGUACGGGCAGACUAGAGUGCGGUAGGGGAGACUGGAAUUCCUGGUGUAGCGGUGAAAUGCGCAGAUAUCAGGAGGAACACCGGUGGCGAAGGCAGAUCUCUGGGCCGUAACUGACGCUGAGGAGCGAAAGCAUGGGGAGCGAACAGG
rnacentral:rRNA from 1 species